rnacentral:lncRNA from 1 species
GUGUGGGCCCCGCUUUCCCCCAGCGCUGGAGACUCCGAGCCCGGCCGGUCCCACAUUCCACGCGAGCUGAAUUCCCGCCCGCAUCCCGCCCGGGCAGCAGGGAUUGCCGGCUCCGGGAGGCGCUCGGGCUCCGAGAAGCGGCUCAGCCCCGCGCCCCUCCCUCCUCAGUACCGCUGCCGGCGGACCAGGAUUCCCGCGGGUCCUGGCGGCUGCGAGCGCGAGGCGGCGCGGAUUCGCGGCUCGGUUCCGGCGCGACUGCUCACCGCGCCCGCCUCGCCUCCCGCGGCUGCCAGCGUGCACUGGGCGCUCCUCGGCGCGUCUGCCCGGCCCGUCUCGGCUUUCCUUCUCCUUCCUCUAGUCCCAGCGUCACAACUCCGCCGACCUCCUCUGCCCUGAGAGCGCGUCCGGUGCGGGCGGAGUCGGACGGACUCUGGCUUCACGCCUCGCGCGGGCACACCUUCUCCCGGGCACUGAGGCCCAGGUGAGUACCGCGCGGGCAGCUGGGGCUGGGACGGCGGGCGGCAGCGGUUCUACAGUCCUACGCGAGCCCCUGGUACCCGGCCGCGCUCCGGGGUUCCAGAAGGAGAAGAUCUCGAGGUGGAGACUGUGGCUCCGGGGAAAACGCUGCUGGCAAGGGCGCUAGUUGGGGGUGGACGUUGGGCCCAGGGGUAUCUGACCUGCGCCGCUGCAGCCUUCUCGCUCCUUCUCCCAGCUUGAACGGCUCAUCGGCUGUGGUCGUGGUGGGAUCACGCCCCGGGAGAGGAGAAGGAUGGGCUCAGGGAAGGGGCUCGGGCUCUCCAGAAAUCCGGCGUGCAGGCCGGGAGCUGUCCAGCCUCGCUAAGAGCCCUGGGCUAGAGUUUGCCCGGACUUGCCUGGAGCUGCUGAAAAGGGAAUUGAGAUUGAGGAGGCCUUGUUGGAAAGGUGGGCAGUGGAAUUUAGCUACCUCCUCACGCCCCAGCCCUUGAGGACUCCCUGAAGGAUCUUGAGUGGAGUCGGACCUCACUGCAGUUCCUUUGUGCCUUCUUACCCGACCUUGGGCCCCAGG